GUGAAAUAAAAGUAGUAAUACGUUAUACUUGUCUGCCGCCUGAGUGUCUAGACUCCAUUCCCGUUUUCUAUCAAGUCUCAACUCUUGCUACGUCUCUAACGUGAGAGGGGAGUAAGGGCGGAGGGUAGCGUGAUCCAGAGUGAUCUCGUCGUCAUUUGUUUCCCGUCACCCACGCAGUCCCGCAGGGUCGUAACAUUCGUCACGUGAUCAAAGUCUCUAUAGCCGCUCUGUUUUUUUUUUUUUGUUUUUGGUUGUUGUUGUUGUUAGUUUUUUUUUUAUUUUUUUUUAAUUUCUGUUUCGACUGCAACUGAUUGCAACUCCUGCAAGCUGUUGCUACUGCGCAUUUUCCCACUUAACUUAGUUUAUAAUAAGGUCGUCGUUGCACUUGCCGCUCCAUUGACGGUUUGGCAACCCGACCCUAUUUAGUACGUAUACCGGUACGCAGUAUAAUAUAUCCACGCGUGAUGCGAUCUGGACUUCUGACAUCAAUUCGCUUUUUAGGACGGCCGAAAAGAUUUACUUUGGCUGCGGAUGAUCACGAUUUCGACGUUCGAGAAUCUUGAAUACGCCCGUCGACGUCCCACGUCCGUAUAGCAUUGGAUGUUUUCAACAUUUUGCUGCAAUAGUUUUCAACAAAUGGAAAUGAAAUUCGGAUAAGGGUUUUGCGUCAUCAAAAGAACCCAAUGUCAAAGAGGAUAAGAUUUCAUUUUAUUUAUGACUCCGCUCGAAACAAAGGCGCCCUCGCUGUUCCGGAUAUUGUUGAAAAGGAUAUAUACGUACAAACGAUGGAGUACAAUAUCAAAAAGAAAAAAAUAAUUGCAACAGAGAAAUACGAAGAGCCUGACUGUGGUCCUUACGGUUGAUUUCGAUUACUAAGUAGCAUUGCAUGCAUGACUAGCGAUGACUAGCAGAUAAUACAACCUGCUAUAAAUAAGUAAAAAAGUUAUACUGACUGGUGGUUUCACUUGUACUCUGAGAUGACAUGAAUAAAGAAAUAUAGCCUGGCAUGCCUCCGCUUUUCCGUGAAGUGAAGUUUCCGUGAAGAUCGAGUAUCAGGACUUCAGGACUUCAACAUAGUCUGACGAAAAAUUAUGCUGCUCUCAAUCCAAUAAAUAAGCUGACAUUAAACUUAUGUGAUCGCACUGUUAUUUCAGACCAUCACAUAUUGCGUUUUCAAACCGCUAAGAAAACUUCGUUUUGGCAAUUUCACUUAUAAUUGAUAAUUUUUUUCUGACAGAGGAAACCACCAAUUUUCAAAUUAAAAAUUGAGCUAUGUCUGCGAUCUUGAUGUGAAAUCUGAUCAAUUGUAACGUUGAGUUAAUUUGAUAAUUCAAUCAUUUUUCAUUUUUCUAAUUUUUUUCCAGUUUCAAUUUCACGCCGUACUGUACAACUUUGCACGCGUGUUAUUGGCUGGCUGCCGACAAAUACCCUGAUAUUAUUUCGAGACUAGCUAAAUAGCUAAGUAGCUAGCGUGUCCAAAUCUAAAGAUCCAUGCCAUAUCGAAUGAUUUUUUAAAAAUAUUGUCACGCUAUGUCUGUCUGAUAGAGCUGCAAUCGGUGCGGCUAUCGGAAACCUUCACCCUGCCUUCACCGUUCACCCGAGAAGAUCAAUCCAUUUCUGAAAUCUAUAUAAGCGUGAUGAUGAAAGGCCCGGAAAUAGAACUGGCAAAGGGAAACGAUUUCAGAAAGACACAUCAUGACAAAUCUAAAACGCGGCGGUCUGCGUCUUUAUCGAUCGAGCAAAAUGCGAUACCAUAUUAAACUUAGAUUUGCUCUCAAUUUUCCGCAAUUUUGAUUAGGAAAAGUCAAUUGGGUUUCAUUGAUUCCUAUAUUGACUUAUUCUUGUAUUAGGUACAAAAAUCGUACCAUAAAUAAAUUCGUACUUUCGUUCAGACAGCAGAUUUUAUAUACUUGCGAGAACA
rnacentral:lncRNA from 1 species